AUACGUAGGGGGCGAGCGUUGUCCGGAAUGAUUGGGCGUAAAGGGUGCGCAGGCGGCCAUUUAAGUCAGCGGUUAAAUCGGGGGGCUCAACCCCAUUCUGCCGUUGAUACUGGGUGGCUUGAUUGCGGUCGAGGUUGGCGGAAUUCGUUGUGUAGCGGUGAAAUGCAUAGAUAUGACGAAGAACACCGAUUGCGUAGGCAGCUGACCAGACCGCAAAUGACGCUCAUGCACGAAAGUGCGGGGAUCGAACAGGAUUAGAUACCCUGGUAGUCCGCACAGUAAACGAUGAAUACUUGUUUUCGGCGAUAUAAUGUCGGAGGCAAAGCGAAAGCGAUAAGUAUUCCACCUGGGGAGUACGCCGGCAACGGUGAAACUCAAAUGAAUUGACGGGG
rnacentral:rRNA from 1 species